CUGCACGCCACGCGCGUCACUUCCGCCAGGCGUACUACGUCACUUCCUGCACGGUGACCGGCUGCUCCGAGGGGCGGACGAGCGGGCAAAUAUAGGGGGCGGGGUGAGAGGUUGUGUCUGAUUAGCUGAGAAGAGCAACGUUGCGCAUCCUCUUUAAAAGUAGAAGCAGCAUCAGGAAAGUUUUGCUCUGUUUCCUCAUGCUUCCUCAAGCUUGGAGUACAAGCAGUGAAACGGCUGGAGUACAAGCAGCGAGUCAGAAAAUCACAUCAGAAUUAAAAAUAUCUCAAAAUGACAUAAAAUGUGCAGCAUAGUUUUACAGAGAAAAUAUCCAUGGUAUUGCACAGAUGUGAAGCUUCAAAAGGAAAGGACAUAAUCUUGCUAGGAGAAACAACAUAUGGAACAGCGUAGCUCAUUUAUCAAGGUACAUUAAAAAUCCCUAAUUUAUUGUUCUCUGUAAUUUGUUCAUGUCGUUUACCACUGUAUU